rnacentral:lncRNA from 1 species
CAUUAUGAACCAUACAUCAUGGCUUUAUACAAUGGGACAGUAUAAGCCUAUAUAUUUGGCUAAAUCAUAAUAUUACAUAAUACCAAAAACUAAAUCUCUAUACAUUCCACUCACUUAUAGAUGAAUAAGAAUUUCUAUUAUUCCAACCUGAAAAAUUGAUAGUGUGAUGAUACCUCCAACAAUCUCCAACCCUGAGCCAAUCCUGAAAAACACUGAGAGAAAUGGGAAAGUAGUGUAAAUUUUAUAACUUAGUAAGUUGGCACAUAAUAAUAAGAAAUUUAAUUAACAAUAUUAACCCAUUCCUCAAUAAGUAUGCUCAAGAAAAUAGAAUCAAUAUUCACAUGAUUUCACCUUUUUACUCAAAUUCAGUUUAAACUGUUUUCCCAAGUCACAGUCACUAAUUUAAUUAUUUAAUAAGAUAAAGAAGUUGAAAUUAAGUUCCGUAAAUUUUCCCUAAAAUCAAACUCAUAUACCUUCUUGCCAUAAAAUUUCCAGAAAUUUUGGCUUAGCCAAUUAAUACAGUUUAUUCAUUAGAUUUUCCCCUAUUUCACUGUUUGACAGUUCUGACAUCUCUUCACAAAGACUAAGAUAUUUAAUUAUACAGAAUUCAAAUAAUGUUAUCGUUUGUUCCAAUAUAAAAUAGACUAAAUAAGGAUUCUAAGCAUAUAAACCAUGCACCAUAAUUAUUUUUAUAUAAUUUAUAAUGAUUUUUCCAAGUCAGAACAAGGGAUCACGUAAUCAGUCUAAACCAGUCUCACAAGAAUUUAAAUAUCUCAUAAAGUAUAAUCCAUUUGCUCACAUCAUUUUAUUUAUAUGAAAAUAUACUCAAUUACCUUUAAUUUCAUAUCUCAUUCAAUUAUUAAUUCAAUUCCUACCAUUUUUGGUGAUUUUUCAAAUGUACAUGGCUGGUACUGUCCAAAUCUGCUUUACUUUUAAAAUUCACUAUUUCAUGCUUUCUCUAUAGUUGCAUUAAUGGUAACACUUACCUCUUAUCAACCUUACCAAAGUACAAUCAUAAAACGAGCUUAUUGCUCAUAGUUUACACAUAUAUACCUGCACUUAUUCACAAGAUUCAUAUUCACACUUAAACAUAUAAAUGCCUCAAACACAAUGUUCACUUGCACAUUAUUAUCACAUGAUUAAAACAUUUUCACAUUUAAUCACUUUUCAUUAUAUCAAUUCAAUACCCGUUGAACCCUAUGGAAUAAUAAAGGAUACACGGAAUAAGGCACAAAGUGCCACAUUGUAAUAUAGCCGAAGCUAUCACUAUAACGUAGCCGAAGCUACCACUGUAUUGUAGCUGAAGCUACCACUAUAUUGUAGCCGAAGCUACCACUGUAUUGUAGCCCAAGCUACCACUGUAUUGUAGCCCAAGCUACCACUGAGAUGUAGCCAAAGCUACCACUGUAUUGUAGUCUAUAGAUUCCUAAGGUUCAAUCGGGAUUUGUUUUAGUUUCACUCAUUAACACUUAUUCAACAUUCACUUAAUCACUUAUCUCGAAACAACACUAAUUCAAAAUUUUUUUAUAAUAUGUAUAAUCAUAGAAAUCACAUUUAAAUACAAUAUUUCAAUGCACUUUCUUGUACCAUAGACAUAUUUUUAAAUCAAUUUAUAAACUUGGCAUAUUAAACAUUUAAUUCAACACAAUUCAAUUAAUUCACUAAUUUAACUUUCAAAUAUAAAUUACAAUGUUAUUACAUUAUUAUUAUCACGCCAACUUACCUCGAAUGCCGAAACGACUAAUUUUCCCGACUUAGCCCACAACUUCAUUCUUCCCCGAUCUUAGUCCAAAUUUCAUGUUUUCUUGAUCUAACAUGUCAAAUAUCACUCAUUUAACACCUUUUAUCAACACACUAAUCAAUUCAAUUCACAUAUCAAAUUUUGGAAAAUUUACAAUUUUGCCCCGUAACUUUUCAAAAAUUAUAUUUUUACCCCUAAGCUCGUAAAAUAAUUUUUUAUUAAAUUUUCUUAUGUUUCAUGACAUGCUGAACAUUUUUCUCUUCUAUGGAAACUUCAAAUUCUCACUAAUUCACACACUUAUGACCAAUUUAUAACUUUUACAAUUUGACCCCUUUUAUACGAUUUCAUCAAAAAUCAUCUAAUAAAACUCGUUUCUCUAAUCAUAGACAUGCAUAAUCUACCAUAAUUCAUCAAAAUACACAAUUAUUCAACAUGGGUCAAUUUUUAAAAUCAAACUCUAACUCAAAAUAAUGGUAGAAAUAGCUAAACCGAGUUAUCGAAAUUUCAAAAAUAUGACGAACAUUAAAAACGAGGCUCAAAUGCACUUACAAUUGAGCUUUGAAAAGCU